rnacentral:rRNA from 1 species
AUCGCCUCCCGAUCCAACUCAACAUGGGAGGUCCCGCCUGCCCUGUGAUAUAUAAUUUAACGGCCGCGGUAUUUUGACCGUGCAAAGGUAGCGCAAUCACUUGUCUUUUAAAUGGAGACCUGUAUGAAUGGCAUGACGAGGGCUUAACUGUCUCCCUUUCCCAGUCAAUGAAAUUGAUCCUCCCGUGCAGAAGCGGGAAUGAGAACAUAAGACGAGAAGACCCUGUGGAGCUUUAGGCGAUAAGCAGCACCCGUAAAGAUUACCUCUAAGGAAAGAAAACACAGGGAAUUUCUACUUUGAUGCCUUCGGUUGGGGCGACCGCGGGGUAAUAUAAAACCCCCACGCGGAAUAUGAUUUCCUUCUUUAAACCAAGAAUGGCAAUUCUAAGCAUCAGAACAUCUGACCUUAAUUGACCCGGCAUUACAGCCGAGCAACGAAACCAGUUACCCCAGGGAUAACAGCGCAAUCCUCUCCCAGAGCCCAUAUCGACGAGAGGGUUUACGACCUCGAUGUUGGAUCAGGACAUCCUAAUGGUGCAGCCGCUAUUAAGGGUUCGUUUGUUCAACGAUUAAAGUCCUACGUGAU